CCCACUAUAGCCCAGUGGUAAAAUCUCCCGCAUGCUCGUAUUUUCGGGCGGCGGUCGGUGGGGGUUCGAAUCCCCCUAGUGGCA